rnacentral:misc_RNA from 1 species
AAACACCUAGGCUCAGGACCCAUUAAAUUCUUGCGGAUAUGUUGAGUGAUUGAUUCAAUGGCGGUGCUGGGAGGCAUCGCCAUGAAUGAUCUGUUUUUGCUUACCGAGGCGCAGAUGCGCCGGAUCGAGCCCUAUUUUCCAUUAUCGCACGGGGUUGCGCGGGUUGAUGACCGGCGGGUGAUCAGCGGGAUCAUCUUCGUCAUCAGGAACGGUCUGCGCUGGCGCGAUGC